rnacentral:lncRNA from 1 species
AUAAUAAUAAUAAUAAUAAUAAUAAUAAUAAUAAUAAUAAUAAUAAUAAAUGAAAAAUGGGGCGAUGCAUGUAUUUCUACAAGCUUCCUGAUCAACACACCAAAAACAAGUCAAUAUUAACCUCAUAUUUUCUAAGUUUAAAAACAACCAAUAAUGUGGUAAUAUGUGGCCAUAAUAAUAUUUAAAAUAAAAUAAAAACAUAAAUCUCUCUUCACCAUCACACAUCUUCUUCAUGACAAAACUAACCUUUCUUCUUCAUGAAAUUUUUGUGAGCAAUAUCUAUUUUUCAAACUUAAAAAAAUAAACUGCCUUCUUCAUGAAACUUAAAGCAACACAACAAGUGAAAUGUAUAAAUCUUGAUUUUCAAUCAAAGUACAAAUCAAAACUUAAAACAAAUCAAACUUUCAUUUUUCAGAAAAACAAACUUGAGACAACAAACAUCGACCUUCACCCAUUCACAACAACGAAAGCGAAACUUAACAAAGUCAGAAAUCGAAGGAAAGAAGUGGUAUAACAUGCCUUUCGUCAGAGCUGUACGGAAUUGAUGAGUAGGCGUCGAAGAGCUCGUUGAGUCGGCGUCUAGGUGCCGUAGUUGUUGUUUGUUGUAGUGAUCGGUCGGUGAACGUCGCCGACUUAGAUGUUUGGAGCGACAGAAGGAGUAUUAUAGUAGUGUUGAUGGUUUGUUCUAUGUGGUUUGAUGAAGAUAUUGAGUUGUUGUUGAAGCUUUCAUGAGAUUUGUUGUUGUUUUAAUGGAUUUAGAGGUGAUGGAUAAUGGUGGUUUUAUGAAAUUUUCUUGUAGCAAGGUUUUUUAUAGUUGUUUAGAGAUGAAGAUGGUGAUGAAGAGUAAGUUGUAAUGGUGAUUUUUAUGAUGAGCUAUUGAUGGUGGUGUUUUCUUGAGAGUGAGAAGGAAAUGUGAUGGGUGUUUGCACCAUGUAUUAGUGCAUGAAAGAAGAAAAAACGUGUGUCUUUCAAUUUAAGAGGAAAGAGUUUAUUCUAUUUUCUUUUUAUUGUGGCCCGCGUGUCGCUUCUUCACCGGAGGGAGAUCAUUUAUUUUUUUCUUGAAACAAAUAUUUGCUAUGCUUCCACAUCUCCAUUUCCCUUACCAUUCAUUCUCUAUUGCAAUUGGUAAAAGAUAUCUUCAUGUAACCAAAGAAAUAACGCCACAUGGCACUGAAAGAGAGAGGAUUUUAUCCAAUCUUUUUACUUGAUUUUGGAAUUUAAAAAAUAAAUCUAUCUAAUGAAAUAAAAAUUAAAAGAACAAAUAAAAAAAACAAACUAGGUACUUAAAUAAAUUCUAAUUUAUUCUACUAAUUAUAUUUACUAAAAAAUAAAAAUAAUCAGAUAAAAAAAAAUUCGGGCAAAAAAAUGUUCGAAAAAAUAAAUUAACUGCACCAAAAUUAUCAGCGCGAAAUACACUAUUCGAAAACAUAUAUGUUUUGAUCGAAAUUUUGAAAUAAAAAUUGACCGGUUAAAAGACUCAGGUUGAUCAGAACGCGAUCGAAAAAGUAGUCAAAAAAUUAAAACGAGCAUACUAGGUUAAACUACGCGGAACGUAGAUUAAUAAAACUGACAUCUGCAAGCUCAAAUUUGAAAAUUUCCGCCCGCUAAUUCGUCAUUCAAUUGAGAAACUAUUCGAUCGGUCUCUCUGUAGAUCCGAAAAAUUUAUCUGGCCGAUAUUUCAAGUGUUAUGUGAAACAAAAUGCAUGAUAUGACAAGUAUAAAAAUGUAAACGUCUUCUAAAUGCACUGAAUUUCUAAUUGAAUAAUCGUAAAUGGAUAAUCAUAUGCAAAUGAAUCGCCCUUGGACCAUUUACUUUUGAUUCUCCAUCACAAAUAAAACAUUUCAAAGAUUCAGAUGACGACAAAACUCUUGAUUGUCAUCCUCUGAACCUUUGAAAACACGAUGCAAUGGAAUGAACGAUGCUAUGAGAUUGAGAAAUCAAGUCUUUCGACUUCUUAAUCAAUAGAUAACUGAAUGAAUGUCAUCAAGACCAAUAAACUGCCAAAACUCCAAACUUUUUAUCUAAACCCCAAUGAAUGCUUUUAACUGAUGAAAAUGUAUGACAAAAAUGGAUAAAUUUAUGCUAUGUUUAUGCGAGUGAAAACUCAUGGUAAAAUUUAGGGUAUGCCACAACACACACUCUAUCAUACGCACAUGCUAUUAGGUGACCCAUGUCAAGGAAGCACAUCCAUUUUGCCUCUGGUGCCGGACCGCUAAGGCAAGGAACAAGAGACUCGUAAACUUCAUCGAAUGUUUCUUUCUUUCCGUACAACUGUGUGCAUGAUUCUUUAUACGUCAUGAACUAUUGGAUAAGUUGAUGGAAGACAAGUGUAUGAUUAUCUUCUCAUUUACCGAGUAAAUUCGAAAUUGUUCGAUAACUACAAUUACUACCCCCCGUAACAUUGACGAUUCACUCGAUGUAUUUGUGCAUAAAAACGGGCACCUCGUCGAUGAAUGGAAUUUUUUGUGGAGGCGGCGUAUGAGGUGGUUUGCUAAUGCGAGGUCCUUUGAAAACACUUUUUUGAAAUUUUGGAGUUGGUAAGUCGGGAAAAACUUUGUCAACAUGUUCAAAAAAUGAAGGAGAUCGUGUAGUCGAAUUGUCAUUCAGUGUUGGCUUCAUUUUCUUCGGAGCACCUUUUGUUUUUACCGGUUGAGAUGGUGGUUUCAUGUCGAUGCUUUCCGGAUAGGCAAUCUUCCUCAAUUGUUCUUUGAUGUGGAGUUUCAAGUUGUCACCGACUUUCAAAAGUCUCUCUUGUAUCACUUCUCAUUCGGUCAUAAUAGAGAUAUUCGAUUUACCGUCAUUCAUGACACGAUCAUCAUCAAAUGAGUGCAAACCUCAUCCACUGUUAUUAGGCUACCAAGUUUCACCUUUUUUGCAACAACACAAGCACAUGAGAGACCAUAUGUUUUCACAAUUGUGCAUGCACACUUUGCACUAUCAGAGCCUACAUAUCAGCUCGUUUAGCCUCAUGAAAAGUAUAAUUCAAACCCGCACGAGAAAUGUUAUCGACCAACUGAGAAUAAAGAGUGUUGUCUUUAAAUUUGUAUUCCAAAACUGUGAUGCUCCGAACAAAUGAUGUGUGUAUCUCAUUAUACUGGUUUUGAAUCAUGUGGUACACAUAGUCUCAAUCUCUACACAAACCGCCCUUACUAUUUCCCAACCAAUUUUUCAAAGUAGCAUGGGCAGACUCAACUCUGUUAGUUAUUGUAUUUCUAAGGUGUCUAACAUUAUCAAUCCAUGCACAAACAAUUUUCUUCUUUACCUGGUCAAGAAUUGUGCUUUCAACAUAUUUCAACAAAUCCGGAUACUUUUCAUACACUUUCCUGAAAUGCAUAACAGAAGCGACAUAUAGUUCUUUUAUGAAAGAAAUUAUUAUACGAUUCCAUGCAUCAAUUAUUUUUUCCACAACCAGACCCUCCUUCCCCAUUUUCCCAUCUUCAGACUCUAUUUGAUUCGUCCCUAUGUUAUGUGAUACCUACAAAGUAAUGAAUUAGAGGAAGAAAAUACCUUUACAACCGAUUUCAUCAAGACGGUAUCGCUGUCGGUAACAAUCACUUUAUGCAUCUUACCUUGGUCUUUCAAUAGUGUCUGACACACCUCUAAGGCCUAAGUAAAAUUGUCUUAUUUUUCACACUCAAGAAAUACAAACCCAACUGAAUAUCUCUUCUUAGUUGAUGUAACACCAACCAUCUCCAAUAAUGGAAGUCUAUACUUGUUGGGUUUGUAGGUUGAAUCAAGUAUGAGCAUGGUAGGAAACGUACUGAGCAACUUUAUGGAAUCAGGAUGAGUCCAAAAUAUAUCUCUAACAAUAACUUCAUCCUCGCAAGUUUGGUACCUAGACACGUAAUCGUUAUCAUCCAACAAUUUCAAGAGUUGUUGCAUUUCAAUUAUACCCCCUUAAGCGCCUUGUUAGUUUGAUACCGAAUAUUAUACACUUGCUUGAUAUUUGAUAUAUUUUCGGGUCUUUUCCGUUUCAAUAUUGCAAGUAUAUUUUUCGGUUGAAUCAAAUUCAAUGUCAUGUCAGCAACACAUCCUUUCUCUUUCGGCAUGAGCCGACACACACUAGGAUGACUGGCUAAUUUUUCACAAAAUCAUGGUUAUGCAAACCACAUAUGACAUUAAAUCUCCAGUUUUUAUUUUCCAACAUGUAACCACGCACCUUAAACAAACAUUCACAUUUUCUUGAACCGGUGCCGUCUCUUUUAAAAAUAUGGAGUGGAGUUCUAUAUCUCCAGCUUCUUUCGCACGUCAUUAUCACAAAAGUGCACCUUCUAUCUGAACCGUUAUCGGGCCUUCCAAUAGCCACACUAAAUCAAAGUUUAGAGACCUACAUAUGAAUCCAUUGAAGCAUUUGAUCACAAGAUUCAAACUCUUGCUCAUUUUUAAAUUGGUUCCCAACAUAUACCGCCCUCACAACAACACCUUGGACAUUCGGAGAAACAACUUGUUUUGAGAAAACAUCGGGGUGCACCAUAUCUAAAGAAAAUAAUUACAACAUAUACGCGCCACUGCUGAAAACAAAGUUGGAAAGUGAACACAAAUUAGUUCCAGAAAUGCAUCUCUGAAAAUGUUCAUACUCGUUCUGGAGAUACAUUUUCGGACACAACGCUCAUUUUUUCAAACAAAAUACAUGAUUAAUAUGAGAAAUGCAGUGUGAAAUAAAUGAUCUUUACAUGAAAUUAUAACUUCUUUUGCUCCCUUUGAUAUGAUGAACCACAAGUUUAGAGAUUUGGAGUGAAAAAAUAGAUUGAGAAUGGAAAGGUUUUUGGUAAGGGUUUGUAGAGAAAAACAACAAUGACAAUAAUGGUUGUGUGAUCAUGCAACUGUUUUUUUAUCAGAUUAUUCCGGAGAUGCAUCUCCAGAAAUAUCUCACAUGAAAAGGUGACAAAAUAUUUCAAAAUCCCAUCCAAACUUCCGAAGAUGUAGCUCCAUAAAUUCUACUGAACUGAUCAAUUAUGAAUAUAUUUCUUGAAAUGUUCUGGAGAUGCAUCUCCGGAAUAAAAAUAACCCAACUUAUAGGGCGCCACUCAUAAUGGUGUGUGUGUGUGUAUGUGUGUGUGUGUGUGUGUGUGUGUGUUGUGUAACACCCUUCUAAAAUACCCCAAAUAUUUAAUUAAAAUAACAACAUAUAUCAAUCAGAGUAGAUAUGCAAUUACGGGUGUCACACAAUUACUUCACAACUUGAGUUUGGUGUGUGAGAGAUCACAUAGUGUCAAAUUGGGAAUGUGAAACUAACAAGUGGUAUUUGGAUGAGAUCAGAGAGGUCAGAAAUCUGAUGUGCUUUUGGUUGAUAAGUUGACUUUAGUGAAUCAAGGUCAAGGUGGUGAAUUCAGAGUUGAUGAGAAUGGUAUUUUGAAAUUUGGUAAUCGGGUGUGUAUUCCGGAUGUUGCGAGCUUAAGAAGAGUAUUCUUGAAGAAGGACAUCGUAGUGGUUUGAGUAUUCAUCCUGGAGCUACGAAGAUGUAUCAAUGAUUUGAAGAAGUUGUUUGGUGGCGGGAAUGAAAAGAGAAAUUGCGAGUUUUUGUUUAUUCCUGUUUGACUUGUCAGAAAUCAAAGAUUGAGCAUCAGAAGCCGUCUGGGCUAAUGCAACCGUUGGCUAUUCCAGAGUGGAAGUGGACAGUAUCAGUAUGGAUUUUGUUUGGGUUUACCGAGAACAAGUUAAGAAUUUUGAGGCUAUUUGGGUGAUUGUGGAUAGAUUGACAAAAUCGGCUCAUUUCAUUCCGAUCAGAAUGGAUUAUCCGUUGGAGAGGUUAGCUGAAUUGUAUAUUGAGAAGAUUGUAAGUCUACAUGGUAUCCCGUCGAGUAUUGUUUCGGACAGAGAUCCUAGAUUUACAUCGAGUUUUGGGAAGUUUGCAGAGGCUUUGGGAACUAAGUUGAGAUUAGUCUGCAUAUCAUCCGCAGACUGAUGGUCAGACUGAGAGGACGAUUCAGUCAUUAGAGGAUCUUUUGAGACUGUGUUUUGGAAAGGGAGUGCUUGGGAUUGUUAUUUACCUUUGGUUGAGUUUACUACAACAAUAGUUUUCAUUCGAGUAUUGGUAUGGCACCGUUUGAAGCUUGUGUAUGGUAGGAGAUGUCGACACUUUAUGUUGGUAUGAGUCCGGUGAGAGUGCUGUGGUUGGACCAGAGAUUGUCAACAGACUACUGAAAAGAUUAAGAUGAUUCAGGAUAGAUGAGAAUGCUCAGAGUCGUCAGAAGAGUUAUCAUGAUAGAGGAGAAAGUCCUUGAGUCCAAGAGGAGAUCAUGUGUUUCUUCGUGUACUCCGAUAACUGGUGUUGGUCGAGCCUGAAGUCAAAGAAGCUGACUCCUCGAUUUAUUGGUCCUUAUCAGAUUUUGGAGAGGUAGGGGAGGUAGCCUAUCGUAUCGCUUUACCGCCGUCACUUGCGAAUUGCAUGAUGUUUUUCAUGUGUCUCAUUGAGGAGAUACGUUCAUGAUCCGUCGCAUGUAGUCCAAGUAGAUGAUGUACAGGUGAGAGAUAACCUGACUGUUGAAACAUCACCUAUGAGGAUUGAAGAUCGAGAGUUGAAGCAGUUGCGGGGGUAAAGAGAUUGCCUUAGUGAAGUAGCUUGGGAAGGACCAGCAGGUGGCAAUGUGACUUGGGAACUUGAGAGUCAGAUGAAGGAACUUAUCCAGAGUUGUUCGCUUGAGGUAUGGUUCGAGACGAAAACUCUUUUAGUGGGGAGAGUUGUAACACCCCAAUUAAAAUAAGAUAUUAUUUAAUUUAAAUUAAUAUUUUUUUAUUAAUUUAAUUGAAUAAUUGGAAAUUUGGAUUAUUAUUAUUAUUAUUUUGGAAUAAUAAUUAUUGGAAUAAUUAUUUAUUGGAAUAUAUAAGUUGAAAUAAAAGUCCCAAUUUGGAAAAAAGGUUUUCACGUGAAAAGGAAAAGAGAAGCGGCUGAAAGAGAGAGAAGGGCAAAAGGCAGAGCAAGAGAAGAGGAAAAGCUUGAAGCUGCAGAAUUGCCGGAUUAACUCAGUAAGGGGGUUAUCAUCGGUUAAAGGUAUAUGAUAAUAUGUACUGGUAGUGAUAACCAUUGUUUUACCUCUGAUUAGAUGGAUGCAUGAUGAAUUGUGAAAUAUUGGAUGAAUGAAAUUGGAUGAUAAUUGAAAGGUUUGGUAGGAAUUGGAUGUAAAGUGUUAGAUUUGUGUAAUCGAAUAAGAUAGGAAUUGUGUGGAAAAUAUGGACGAUUAUUUGGUGUAAAUUGGACUGUAGAAGGUUGGAUCGGAUAGGUUUCGUAAUAGAGAAAGUCAUUUGCAGAUCUGGAAAUCUGGUUCUAUAGCAGAGGGUUCUGUUUGCGCGCGAUUCACGCGCGAAGCCAGUGCCGCGAACUGGCAAAUCCAGAGGGUUCUGUAACGCACCGUUCGCGGCGCGAACCCUGCUGCGGCGCCAACUGUGCUGUGCAGAGUUGAUGUUGGAUGGUGAAUUCCUGUGUGGUGGUGAUGCAGUUUUGGCUGUCUAGGCUGAAUGAUGUGACUUAGCUGAGGACCGAUGUAAAGGGAUCAUUUCCCGUUGUUUGAGUGGCAUAGUAUUAGUAGGGUGUGCUAAUACUAUGAUUAAUUUAUGCAUGAUAUGAUAGCUUUCGUGAUGAAAUGUGUUGAUGAUAUGUGAUGGUAUGCAUAAUGCUGUGAAUGUAUCGGUGAUGUAUGCAUAUUAAUAGACUGUUGUAUGGCUUAGAGUGUGAGCAUGUGUCUAUUCUUGAAUUGUUGUUUGUUGUUGCCUUGCUAGAUGAUUAGCGCAUGGCAUAGCCUGUGGGGCUGUAGCUAAUUCCCAUUGUGAGGAAUUAGUGAGUAAAAUAUGGUGGAGUUGUUGUUGAUGUUUGCAUACUAGAUGAGUAGUGUGCAUAGUCUAGCCUUUGGGCUGUAGCUAAUUCCAUGGUGAGGAAUUAGUGAGUGAGUCAUUAGAUCUCAAUGAGUGGGACUAGUGAGCUCAGUAGCCGUAUCCGAGGGAUCGGUGAGCUUGGACUAUAUGUUCAAGAAGAGUUGUACCGCAUUUCAUGGAGUCUCAUUGCAUAAUGAAUGCAGCAUAGCCUGUGGGGCUGUAGCUAUUCCAUUGUGAGAAUUAGUGAGUAAAUCGUUGUGUUGUGUUGUUGGUGUUGAAUAUGGUUUGAGACUAUACAUAGAUAUAUAUUAUUGUUGAGUAUAAUGUUUGCGUUGAUACUGCCGUUAUGGAGUGUGUAGUCUGGUUAGGGUGAUUUGAUGCGUUAUUUACUUAACAUUACAUAAUGUUGUAUAAUGCUUAUUAUAUGAUUGGGAACUCACUUACAACUAUGUUUUUCAGUAACAGCAGUGAGUUGAGUAGAAGCUAGUCCUUGGAGUCUAGUGUCGUCCUUAGUGUCAUGCUCUGGUAGAUGUAACAUCGGGAGGGGAUGUUUUAAUUAUUUUGAUGUUGAUUGUUGAAUAUUUACAUGUACUGUGGUACAUGUUAUUACAUGAUUGAAUUGAUUUUCUAUCCGCUGCGAAUUAUGCAAAAGUGUCCUAUUUUGAUUAAAUAAAUGAGCAUGACAGGAUAUUUGAUGAAUAUUGUGUGACACCCUUCGGGGCAUAUACUCUGAUUGAUAUGUUUAUAUUUAAUUAAAUAUUUGGGGUAUUUUAGAAGGGUGUUACACUAAUCACCUAGCAUGCAAACAUCAACAACAAUCCACAUACCCACAUCACAAUUCCUNNNNNNNNNNNNNNNNNNNNNNNNNCCAUUCACCAUAUAACUGUCAUGCUUUUUAUUAAUUCAAAACAUAAAGCAUUUGCACAAUACGCAGCGGAUAGAGAUAAAUCAAUCAUGCAAACAUGUAGCAUAUACAUGUAAACUGGUUCACAACCAACAAUAAACAUUUAAAACAUCCCAUCCGAUGUUACAUCUACCAGAGCAUGACCACUAAGGAACUACACUAGAUCCACAGCACUAGCUCCUACUCAAUCACUGCUCGUUACCUGAAAAAUAGUGUAAGGGUGAGUCUCAAUCAUAUAUAAGCAUUUAUAAAAUAUCAUGCAAUGUUAAGUAAUUUAACACAUUUCAUCACCCUAAUCAUAACACACAUUCAGUAAACGGCCAAUCACUCAACACUCAUACUCAACACCAACAUAAAGCACAUGUAUAAUCUCAUUCAUACUCACACCAACACAAAACACGUAUAAUAUUGGAAUACAUCAUUCAUAUUAUACGUCAUACAUACAUUAUGCAAUGAGACUCCAUGCAUCGCGUACGACUAUUCGUGAACAUAUAGUUCAACCUCACCGAUCAAAUCCAGAUACGGCUACAAGUCACUAGUCCCACUCAUUUGACCUAGUGACUCACUCACUAAUUCCUCACAUGGUAUAGCUACCACCCAAGGCUAUUGAUAUGCACCGCUAAUGUAACACCCCAAUAAAAUAAGAUAAUUAUUUAAUUUAAUUAAUAAUUUAUUUAUUAAUUUAAUUGAAUAAUUGGAAAUUGGAUUAUUAUUUUAUUAUUUUGGAAUAAUAAUUAUUGGAUAUUAUUUAUUGGAAUAUAUAAGUUGGAAUAAAAAGUCCCAAUUUGGAAAAAAAGGUUUUCACGUGAAAGGAAAAGAGAAGCGGCUGAAAGAGAGAAAGGGCAAAAGGCAGAGCAAGAGAAGAGGAAAGCUUGAAGCUGCAGAUUUGCCGGAUUAACUCAGGUAAGAGGGGUUUAUCAUCGGUUAAAGGUAUUAUAUGAUAAUAUGUACGGUGGGUAGUGAUAACCAUUGUUUUACCUCUGAUUAGAUGAUGCAUGAUGAAUUGUGAAAUAUUGGAUGAAUGAAAUUGGAUGAUAAAUGAAAGGGUUGGUAGGAAUUGGAUGUAAAGUGGUUAGUUUUGUGUAAAUCGAAGAUAGGAAUUGUGUGGAAAAUAUGGACGAUUAUUUGGUGUAAAUUGGACUGUAGGAAGGUUGGAUCGGAUAGGUUCGUAAUAGAGAAAGCAUUGCAGAUCUGGAAAUCGGCUUCUGUAGCAGAGGUCUGUUUGCGCGGAUUCGCGGCGCCGAACUGGCAAAUCCAGAGGGGUCUGCUAACGCACGUCGCGGCGCGAACCCUGCUGGCGGCCGCGAACUGUGCUGUGCAGAAGUUGAUGUUGGAUGGUGAAUUCGUGUGGUGGUGAUGCAGUUUUUGGCUGUCUAGCUGAAUGAUGUGACUUAGCUGAGGACCGAUGUAAUAGGAUCAUUUCCCGUUUUUGAGUGGCAUAGUAUUAGUAGGUGUGCUAAUACUAUGUUAAUUAUAUGCAUGUAUUGAUAUGCUUUCGUGAUGAAAGUGUUGAUGAUAUGUGAUGGUAUGCAAUAUGCUGUGAAUGUAUCGGUGAUGUAUGCAUUAUUAAUGACUGUUGUAUGGCUUAGAGUGUGAGCAUGUGUCUAUUCUUGAAUUGUGUUGUUGUUGUGCCUUGCUAGAUGUUAGCAUGCAUGCAUAGCCUGUGGGGCUGUAGCUAAUUCCCAUUGGUGAGGAAUUAGUGAAGUAAAAUAUGGUGGAGUUUUGUUGAUGUUUGCAUACUAGAGAGUAUGUGCAUGUCUAGCCUUUGGGCUGUAGCUAAUUCCAUGGUGAGAUUAGUGAGUGAGUCAUUAGAUCUCAAUGAUGGGACUAGUGAGCUCAGUAGCCGUAUCCGGAGGAUCGGUGAGCUUGGACUAUAUGUUCAAGAAGAGUUGGUACCCGCAUUUCAUGGAGUCUCAUUGCAUAAUGAAUGCAUGGCAUAGCCUGUGGGGCUGUAGCUAAUUCCAUUGUGAGGAAUUAAUGAGUAAAUCGUUGUGUUGUGUUGUUGGUGUUGAAUAUGGUUGAGACUAUACAUAUGAUAUAAUUUAUUUUGAGUAUAAUGUUUGCGUUGAUACUGCCGUUAUGGAGUGUGUAGUCUGGUUAGGUGAUUUGAUGCGUAUUUACUUAACAUUACAUAAUGUUGUAUAAUGCUUAUUAUAUUGAUUGAGAACUCACCCUUACAACUAUGUUUUUCAGGUAACGAGCAGUGAGUUGAGUAGAAGCUAGUCCUUGGAGUCUAGUGUCGUCCUUAGUGGUCAUGCUCUGGUAGAUGUAACAUCGGAGGGGAUGUUUAAUUAUUUUGAUGUUGAUUGUUGAAUAAUUUACAUGUACUGUGGUACAUGUUAUUACAUGAUUGAAUUGAUUUUCUAUCCGCUGCGAAUUAUGCAAAAGUGUCCUAUUUUGAUUAAAUAAAUGAGCAUGACAGGAUAUUUGAUGAAUAUUGUGUGACACCCUUCGGGCUAAUUACUCUGAUUGAUAUGUUUAUUAUUUAAUUAAAUAUUUGGGGUAUUUUAGAAGGGUGUUACAUAGUGGUAUCGAGCAUAGUCGGCGAGUCGAGUCGUAUUAUUCUGUUCUGUACGGGAUAGGUGUUGUGUAACCCAUAGUAUUAUUGUUAGCUUGUGGUGUUUUCAGAUAGAGAUGGCUGGAAGAGGUAGAGAUGAUGCUGGAUUGCUGAGGCUCUGGGUAUGCUAGCUGGAUACUUGGAGGAAUCCGAAUGUUGUGGGAAUGGGAGCUGCUCGUCACUGAGUGAGUUCCAGAAGAACAAUCCUCCAUGUUCAAGGGCGCAUACGACCAAGAGGUGCUCAGAAGUGGUUGAAGGAGAUAGAGAGGAUCUUCCGAAGUGACUGAGUGUGCGAUAACCAGAAGGUCAGGUUUCGGUACGCAUAUGCUGUCAGAGGAAGCUGAUGAUUGGUGGGUUGCUACCCGCACUGAGUGGAAACUGCUGGGAAUGCGUGAAUCACUUGGGCUGUGUUCAGAGAGAGAUUCCUGAGGAAGUAUUUUCCAGAGGAUGUUAGGGAAAGAAAGAGAUAGAGUUCUUGGAAUUGAAGCAGGGUAACAGGUCUGUUACUGAGUAUGCUGCUAAGUUCACAGAGCUGUCGAAGUAUUACUCCUAUAAUGAGGCUGCUGCGAGAAUUUUCGAAAUGUGUGAAGUUGAGGAACGGGUUGCGUCUGAGAUCAAGCAGGCUAUUGUAUCAGGGAUCGAGUGUUUUCUGAUUGGUUGACUGUUGCAGGAUUUUUGAACAGGAUUCCAAGGCCAGAGCUGAGAGCUAUCAGCAGAGGUUGAUAGGAAAGCAAGAAUCAGAUUGAUCGUGGAAACCGUAUGCAGCUGGCAAAGGUUUUCAGAGACAGAGUGGGAUGAAGAAGCUAGUGGGGGAGACUCUAGUGCUCCUGUUAAGUGUUACAGAAUGUGCUCGGGCUGGACAUCGUGUUCAUGAGUGUACCAGUGCUGAGAUGAAGUGUUUCAAGUGGGAAAGGUGGUCAUUUGGCUGCCAGUAUGCGGUUGAAGACUGUGAUUGUUUCAACUGUGGAGAGUGGGUCAUAUCAUCGCAGUGUCCUAAGCCGAAGAAAGAGAAUCAGUCGGGAGCAAGGUUUUUGCUUAUCGGGUUCUGAGACUUCUGCAAUGUCGUGAUCGGUACGUGUUAUAUUAAUGGCUCUUCCUCUUGUAGCUAUUAUUGACAGGGUGCGACUCAUUCUUUUAUAUCUUGGAUUGUGCUGUAACUUAGUUAGAGAUAUCUGAGAUGUUUGUAGUAUGGUGUAUGAUACUCCUGCGAAGGGUUCAGUGACUUACUACGUCAGUUUGUUUAAAUUGUCCUUAGUAUUUUUGGUAGAGACUUGGAUAGACUUUGUGUCUUCCAUUAGUGCCAGAUUGAUGUUAUCCUGGGUAUGAACUGGUUGGUGUUUACGAUUUAUAUCAAUUUUUUGAUAGACUGUGAUCUUUCUGAGAUUGAGGAAGGAAGAGUUUGUUUCUAUCAGCGAGGCACGUGUGAAUGAGGAGUAGCUGAUGGGGCCAGAGCUGUUUAUGCUGUUAGCGACUUUGGAAGCUAAAGAUAAACUAGUGUUGGCGAUCUCGUGUGGUGUGUGAUUUCCUGAUCGUGUUCCGGAAGAAGUGAAUGUUACACCAGAGCGUGAAGUUGAGUUUCGAUUGAUUUGGUACCGUACUAGACCGAUAUCGAUGGCUCUGUACGUAUGUCUGCUGUGAGUUAGCUGAAUUGAAAUCAGUUUGGAAUUUGUGGAUAAGAAAUUUAUUCGUCCGAGUGUGUCACGUGGGUGCACCAGUGUUGUUGGUUAAGAGAAAGAAGUACAUGAGAUUGUUGUGUGGAUACAGGCAACUGAAUAAGUGACUAUCUAAGAAUCGUAUCUUUGCCGAGGAUUGAUGAUUGAUGGAUCAGUUUGUUGUGCGAGUGUGUUCAGCAAGAUAGAUUUGAGAUCUGGUAUCAUCAGAUACGUGUGAAACUGAGGAUAUUCAGAAGACUGCUUUCAGAACAAGGUAUGGACUAUGAGUUUCGGUGAUGCCUUUUGGUGUGACUAAUGCGGGAGUAUUCAUGGAGUAUAUGAAUAGAUUUUCCAUCCGUACCUAGAUCGUUUGUUGUGGUGUUUAUUGAUGACAUUUUGGUGUAUUCGAAAUCUGAGAAGAGCAUGCUGAACAUUGAGAGUGGUGUUGGAGUUCUACGAGAAAGAAGUUAUUUGCUAAACUGUCAAGGGUGAAUUUUGGUUAGAAGAGGUUAGUUUUCUUUGGUCAUGUAAUUUCAAGAGGUGGUGUUGCUGUUGAUCCUUCUAGAUAGAAGCGGUAUCUAAGUGGGAAGCUCCGAAGUCAGUUUCUGAGAAGAAGUUUCUUGGACUUGCAGGUUAUUAUUAGGAGUUCAUUGAUGGGAUUCUCUAAGUUGGUUACCGUUGACGAUGUUGACUAGAAAGGCGCACGUUUGUUUGGGACUCAAAUGUGAGAAGGUUUCCAAGAGUUAAGAAAAGGAAGUUAAACUCUGCUCUCUAUCCUGAUAUUACGAGUUCGUCGGAACUAUUUUGGGUUUAUUGUGAUGCUUCAUUGCUGGUUUAGUGGUGUGUUGAUGCAAAUAAGCAGGUUAGCUUAUGCUC